GCUCAAUAUAUGAUAAUGAUUUUAUGUAUAGUUGAGUUUUAAUAGGUUUUCAUGUUGUCUAAGCCAUUUUAUUACUCUUAACCAUUUUAAUGUGUGUAUGUCUUUAAAUGAGUCUGGGUCUGAUCACAUGACAGGAAAUAGGAAAUGGACAGCAUAAGGAGAUAGCAUGCCAAACAAGCAAGGUCAUUGCUUACGACCAUUUGGUGAUCACCUAUAUACUGGCUAGUGGAGUUAUCUUUGUGGACUCACCUUUCCUGUGCUUUUGGAUUAUCACUUCCGUGGACUUUUUGUAUAUACACCGGUGGACACUUUUACUUUGAAACUUACAACACUGGAUUUCUUAAGGACUUAAUGGUUAACCUUGAUAAAGCUACAUUCCAGGAUCAGUUUGAUUAUCUUCAGAAAAAGAUGAAGCUAUCUUGCUCCGGUCGUUUUGGGGACAUGUGAGUUUUUGAAAAACACCCCUCGGACAGUUCAACAGACGACUACAGCUCAGAUGUUGGUGUUAACGGAUAAAACUAACCACGAAGUCACUUUCAAAAUCUCGAAGCACCAAACUGAAACAGAAACUGAUGCAGGCAAGAGACAAGUUCUGAUCAGAAAAUAUGAAGCUCUUCAUCAGACUAGAGCUCAAAUUGAAGGAACAUUUGACGCUAUCAACCAGCGUUGCUUUCGUGGAGUUGUAGUUGAGGAUGAACUGGUUGGAUAUUAUAGGUCUGCGAAAGAUUUAUUUGCUUUUAAAAAUGAUGCUGAGCAUUUCAGGACAACCUGUUUUAACUGGCACGAGGACGAGGUGAACAACAUAAAGAUGACCCUCUCAUUGGCUAUAUGCACAUAUUCAUAUUGUCUGUUUGUCUUUUUCUUGUUUGUCUCUCACACAGUUUCUGAUCACCUUGUCCUACAUGCAUGUAUUUGCUCGUCUCUGUACAUAUGGGUUUGGAGCGGAGAGGUGUGUCUCUACAAGUACAAGAUUCUAGAAAAAACUAAGAAAAUAUGUAAAAUAUAUUUGAACAGUUAGUAAUUUGACAGUUUCUACAAUCAUUUCUUAAUUGUUGUAAACUUUUUGGUAUUGAUAUAGAAGAUAUUGAUCUUAAAUGUUUUCUUAAUUACCAAGUAUGUUUUUCUUUGUUGUGGAAUCAUAGAGGUCAUAACAGCAGUCUCCAGUGAAAGCCUCAGUGUGUUCCUAUAAACAACAUGCUUAUGAAAAAUCAAAUAGCAUGUGGAGUAAAUAUGCACAAAUGAAGUCAGUCUGCCAAAAACAUGGCUUUACUACAAGCCAAGCGCUAAAUUUCUGUGUAUAUUCAUCUGACUUUUUGACCUAAAAUAGCCAUGAAGCCAAGAAAAUAUUUAUUAAAUAAUAUACUGAACACAUUUACAAGUAAACAAUGUAGGUUUGAUUUAGUUUAUACACAGUUCUAUGAUUUCAAAUGGAUGAAUAUUUUGGAGGGGGCUCUGCGCCACCUACCCUUACGAAAAAGUAUACUUGCACUUCAUUUUAUGAAGUAUACUUAAGUAAUGUUGAAGUAUAUUUUAAGUAUACUUCAAGUAGUAAGUAUACUAACAUCUAUGUACUAGUAGUAUACUUGUAAGUGUACUAUUUGAAUUCCAAAUAAACUGACCUUGACCUAUAAGUUUGUUUAUAAAUCCAUUAUUUU
rnacentral:lncRNA from 1 species